rnacentral:rRNA from 1 species
UACGAAGGGGGCUAGCGUUGUUCGGAAUUACUGGGCGUAAAGCGCGCGCAGGCGGCCUUUCAAGUCAGGGGUGAAAGCCCGGAGCUCAACUCCGGAAUUGCCUUUGAAACUGUCAGGCUCGAGUACGGGAGAGGUGAGUGGAAUUCCCAGUGUAGAGGUGAAAUUCGUAGAUAUUGGGAAGAACACCGGUGGCGAAGGCGGCGACCUGGUCCGAUACUGACGCUGAGGCGCGAAAGCGUGGGGAGCAAACAGG